rnacentral:rRNA from 1 species
UUCCGGUUGAUCCUGCCGGACCAGACUGCUGUUGGAGUUCGACUAAGCCAUGCAAGUCUUCCGGAAGGAGGCGAAAGGCUGAGUAACACGUAGGUAACCUACCUUAUGGAGGGGCAUACCCUCGGGAAACUGAGGAUAAUUCCCCAUAGGAUUUGGUGACUGGAAUGUCCCAAAACCCAAAGCUUCGGCGCCAUAAGAUGGGCCUGCGGCCUAUCAGGUUGUUGGCGGGGUAAUGGCCCACCAAGCCUUUGACGGGUAGGGGCAGUGAGAGCUGAAGCCCCCAGACGGGCACUGAGAUACUGGCCCGAGCCUUACGGGGUGCAGCAGGCGCGAAACCUUUACAAUGCACGCAAGUGUGAUAAGGGAACUCCAAGUGCCAUUGCUUUUUGCAAUGGCUUUUUUUGAGUGUAAACAGCUCUAGGAAUAAGAGCUGGGUAAGACAGGUGCCAGCAGCCGCGGUAAUACCUGCAGCUCAAGUGGUCUGGAUUUUUAUUGGGUCUAAAGCGUUUGUAGCCGGACUCGCAAGUCUUCUGUGAAAUCUGACGGCUUAACCGUCAGGCGUGCAGGGGAAACUACAAGUCUAGGGACCGGGAAGGGCCAAAGAUACUCUAGGGGUAGGGGUGAAAUCCAAUAAUCCUUAGGGGAUCGCCAGUGGCGAAGGCGUUUGGCUAGAACGGGUCCGACGGUGAGGGACGAAAGCUAGGGGAGCGAACGGGAUUAGAUACCCCGGUAGUCCUAGCCGUAAAUGAUGUGGACUAGGUGUUGCAUUCCCCUUGUGGGAAUGCAGUGCCGAAGGGAAGCCGUUAAGUUCACCACCUGGGAAGUACGGUCGCAAGGCCGAAACUUAAAGGAAUUGACGGGGGAGCACAACAAGGGGUGGAGUCUGCGGUUUAAUUGGACUCAACGCCGGGA